rnacentral:rRNA from 1 species
UCGAGAAUCUUUCGCAAUGGGCGCAAGCCUGACGAAGCGACGCCGCGUGCAGGAUGAAGGUCUUCGGAUUGUAAACUGCUGUCUUUUGGGAGCAAGGAACCGUCAUUAACACCGGCGGAACUUGAUAGUACCGAAGGAGGAAGCCACGGCUAACUCUGUGCCAGCAGCCGCGGUAAUACAGAGGUGGCAAGCGUGGUUCGGAUUUACUGGGCGUAAAGGGUGCGUAGGCGGUUCUGUGUGUCGGGUGUGAAAUCCCACGGAUCAUCUGUGGAACGGCAGUCGAAACUGCAGGGCUUGAGUACAGGAGAGGAGAGCGGAAUUCUCGGUGUAGCGGUGAAAUGCGUUGAUAUCGAGAGGAACGCCGGUGACGAAGGUGGCUCUCUGGACUGUUACUGACGUUGAGGCACGAAAGCUAGGGGAGCAAACA